rnacentral:lncRNA from 1 species
UCCUCUAGUACCACAUCUGCCAAACGCCGGCCACCAUGCUUCCUGCCAUAUGGACUAAACUCUUGAAACUGUGUGAAAUAUCAGACUCUCAUGAGGAGACUUUGGGAUCUGGAACCUAGGAAGUUUUGAGCCGGUAUCACACGUGCGGACACCCCAGCCUCGGCCAUCAUUAGUGCGGAAGAUGCAGAGAUCGUAGCGGAUGCCUUUCUGGACUACACGGUUUGGGCAGUCAUAGCCACAGCAACAGCGGGAGUUGCACUCGUAGAUGGGCUGCCCAGCUUUCAGUCGCACCUGGCCUUGGUCAUUGUAGGCAAACUUGUGCAGGGAUGCUCCAGGGCAACAGCCUCCAGUGGGUGCCAACAGACAGUCCUGGCACUCACAGCCAACAGCUACCUGGUUGAGGGUGAUGCCCUCACCAACUCGAUACUCAUUGAUAUAGACAAAGGACCUUGGAGGGCCAUCCAGGUCUACCUCAUUCUCCACGGUGAUCCGCCCCAGGUGGCUGCGCUUGGCAUUGAGCUCUUGUUCCCAACGCUGAAGUGCCCGCCUCUGCUUGGCCUUCUGCACCAGCUAACAACAUUCGGGCCUAACCGGCCUCGCGAGAAGAGAGCGCGCGCGGGCGUGGCCGGGGACGCGCAGUCGAUUGGCCGCUCCUCGCCGCUCGCAGCUCCGGCUCGGACCAACCGCGGAGCUGUGCCUGGACUCCUCCCGUCACCAGGAGUGGUCUCGAGAGCCCGUGCUCGCUGCCUUUAUUCAGAGUGCGCCUGCGCAGUAGCAAAGCUUGCCUUUGCUCCAGGACCCGCCCCUUGUCAGUCAUAUUGCUAGCCAAUCGCGGCGUCAGCCAGUCAUAAAGGGCUUGUUUUGUGCAA